rnacentral:rRNA from 1 species
GGCGGCAGGCCUAACACAUGCAAGUCGAGCGGCAGCACGGGUACUUGUACCUGGUGGCGAGCGGCGGACGGGUGAGUAAUGCCUAGGAAUCUGCCUGGUAGUGGGGGAUAACGUUCGGAAACGAACGCUAAUACCGCAUACGUCCUACGGGAGAAAGCAGGGGACCUUCGGGCCUUGCGCUAUCAGAUGAGCCUAGGUCGGAUUAGCUAGUUGGUGAGGUAAUGGCUCACCAAGGCGACGAUCCGUAACUGGUCUGAGAGGAUGAUCAGUCACACUGGAACUGAGACACGGUCCAGACUCCUACGGGAGGCAGCAGUGGGGAAUAUUGGACAAUGGGCGAAAGCCUGAUCCAGCCAUGCCGCGUGUGUGAAGAAGGUCUUCGGAUUGUAAAGCACUUUAAGUUGGGAGGAANGGCAGUUACCUAAUACGUGAUUGUUUUGACGUUACCGACAGAAUAAGCACCGGCUAACUCUGUGCCAGCAGCCGCGGUAAUACAGA